rnacentral:rRNA from 1 species
UACGUAGGGUGCAAGCGUUAAUCGGAAUUACUGGGCGUAAAGCGUGCGCAGGCGGUUAUGCAAGUCAGAUGUGAAAUCCCCGGGCUUAACCUGGGAACUGCAUUUGUGACUGCACGGCUAGAGUGUGUCAGAGGGGGGUAGAAUUCCACGUGUAGCAGUGAAAUGCGUAGAUAUGUGGAGGAAUACCGAUGGCGAAGGCAGCCCCCUGGGAUAACACUGACGCUCAUGCACGAAAGCGUGGGGAGCAAACAGG